rnacentral:miRNA from 1 species
GUGAGUUUGUUGUAUUGUGGU